AACCUUCUUUUCCCUCACUCCACUACAAAGCGCACCCCCCACCUCACCUCUCUCCCUCUCUGUCAUCACCUCCCAUCGAGCCAUCGACACCAUCCAUCCCCAAUGGCCUCCUCACCCAUGCUCAUUGGCCUGACCACAUUUCUCCUCCUCACCGCGUCCGCCCUCUUCGACCAAGCCGAGUCCAAGGUGGCUCCCGGUCCUAAGCCGGCGCCGCUCAACCUCACCGGCAUUCUCGAGAAGGGCGGGCAGUACGGCACCUUCCUUCGCUUGCUGAGAGAGACGCAGGUAGGGGAGCAGAUCGAGAGCCAGCUGAACAACUCCUUCAAUGGCCUCACCAUCUUCGUCCCCACCGACAAUGCCUUCAGCAACCUGAAAGCCGGCACGCUCAACAGCCUGACGACCCAAGAGCAGGUGUCGCUGGUCCUCUACCACGUCCUCCCGAGGUACUACAGCCCAACCACCUUCGAGACCACGAGCAACCCGGUGAACACGCAGGCAUCGGGGAGGAGCGGCGUCUACACCGUCAACAUCACCAGCACCAGCAACCAGGUGAACGUGUCCACCGGGGUCAACGAGACGCCCAUCAACACCAACCUCUACUUGGAAUUCCCGUUGGCGGUGUUCUCGGUGGACAAGGUGUUGCUGCCCGCCGAGCUCUUCGGGGCUAAACCUCCCGCGUCAUCACCGUCUCCGGC
rnacentral:lncRNA from 1 species